rnacentral:rRNA from 1 species
UACGUAGGGUGCGAGCGUUGUCCGGAAUUAUUGGGCGUAAAGAGCUCGUAGGCGGUGUGUCACGUCGGCCGUGAAAACCUGCAGCUUAACUGUGGGCGUGCGGUCGAUACGGGCAUCACUGGAGUUCGGCAGGGGAGACUGGAAUUCCUGGUGUAGCGGUGAAAUGCGCAGAUAUCGGGAAGAACACCCGUGGCGAAGGCGGCUCUCUGGGACGGUACUGACGCUGAGACGCGAAAGCGUGGGUAGCAAACGAGGGA